UAUUCCUAGGAAAGUAAAGCAAACUGGAGGGUUGAAUUGGAAACAUUAAACAUCUACCACAGACCACAAUCACCUUCUAAUCCAAGUUAAAAGGAAAUGCGUUGAGAUGUCAAACUGUAGAUGAAACAGCAGGAAAAAGUCAACAAUUCAAUUUGUGAAACAUCAGCAGCAAAGCGCAGUAAAAGAUGUGUUGGACUGAGCAAACCGUUACCAUUCCCUGCUCCUCAUUCACUUAGAAGUUCAACGGUCAACCAAAAACAGUGGGGAGAAAGAAGUAUUCAAGUUUGUCAAAGGUACAACACACAUGUGGCAUCAGCACAUGCAACAUUUUAUUUCCACUCACGUAUUUUACAAGCUUCUAAUGAACCAUUUGAGCAGCACAAGUUCUGUCCAAGACCAAUGUAAUCCCGACUGUUACAAGCAGCAGAGAUGCAGAAAAGCAGUGAGCUGCUAUCAGCACGUCGAUCAAA